UCGAGAAUCUUCGGCAAUGGGCGCAAGCCUGACCGAGCGACGCCGCGUGGAGGAUGAAGGCCUUCGGGUUGUAAACUCCUGUCGAGGGGGAGGAAGGCGCAAGCUUGACCGAUCCCUGGAGGAAGCACGGGCUAAGUUCGUGCCAGCAGCCGCGGUAAGACGAACCGUGCGAACGUUAUUCGGAAUCACUGGGCUUAAAGCGCGUGUAGGCGGAUGGGGACGUCGGUUGCUGAAAUCCCCCGGCUCAACCGGGGAACGGGCACCGAAACGCCCCGUCUGGAGGGACGUAGGGGGACCUGGAACUUCCGGUGGAGCGGUGAAAUGCGUUGAGAUCGGAAGGAACGCCCGUGGCGAAAGCGAGGUCCUGGACGUCUUCUGACGCUGAGACGCGAAAGCUAGGGGAGCGAACGGGAUUAGAUACCCGUGUAGUCC
rnacentral:rRNA from 1 species